rnacentral:pre_miRNA from 14 species
CAACAAAGCCUCUGAAAGUCAGAAGAUCUUGGACAGAUGUUAUGGACAUGAAAGACCCCCGGAGUGGGGAGACCCUCACUCAAGUCUCGGGAUGAUGAGACUCCCCCAAGAACUCAUGUGAGACC